rnacentral:rRNA from 2 species
AGAGUUUGAUCCUGGCUCAGGAUGAACGCUGGCGGCGUGCCUAAUACAUGCAAGUCGAGCGAACGGACGAGAAGCUUGCUUCUCUGAUGUUAGCGGCGGACGGGUGAGUAACACGUGGAUAACCUACCUAUAAGACUGGGAUAACUUCGGGAAACCGGAGCUAAUACCGGAUGAUAUUUUGAACCGCAUGGUUCAAAAGUGAAAGACGGUCUUGCUGUCACUUAUAGAUGGAUCCGCGCUGCAUUAGCUAGUUGGUAAGGUAACGGCUUACCAAGGCAACGAUGCAUAGCCGACCUGAGAGGAUGAUCGGCCACACUGGAACUGAGACACGGUCCAGACUCCUACGGGAGGCAGCAGUAGGGAAUCUUCCGCAAUGGGCGAAAGCCUGACGGAGCAACGCCGCGUGAGUGAUGAAGGUCUUCGGAUCGUAAAACUCUGUUAUUAGGGAAGAACAUAUGUGUAAGUAACUGUGCACAUCUUGACGGUACCUAAUCAGAAAGCCACGGCUAACUACGUGCCAGCAGCCGCGGUAAUACGUAGGUGGCAAGCGUUAUCCGGAAUUAUUGGGCGUAAAGCGCGCGUAGGCGGUUUUUUAAGUCUGAUGUGAAAGCCCACGGCUCAACCGUGGAGGGUCAUUGGAAACUGGAAAACUUGAGUGCAGAAGAGGAAAGUGGAAUUCCAUGUGUAGCGGUGAAAUGCGCAGAGAUAUGGAGGAACACCAGUGGCGAAGGCGACUUUCUGGUCUGUAACUGACGCUGAUGUGCGAAAGCGUGGGGAUCAAACAGGAUUAGAUACCCUGGUAGUCCACGCCGUAAACGAUGAGUGCUAAGUGUUAGGGGGUUUCCGCCCCUUAGUGCUGCAGCUAACGCAUUAAGCACUCCGCCUGGGGAGUACGACCGCAAGGUUGAAACUCAAAGGAAUUGACGGGGACCCGCACAAGCGGUGGAGCAUGUGGUUUAAUUCGAAGCAACGCGAAGAACCUUACCAAAUCUUGACAUCCUUUGACAACUCUAGAGAUAGAGCCUUCCCCUUCGGGGGACAAAGUGACAGGUGGUGCAUGGUUGUCGUCAGCUCGUGUCGUGAGAUGUUGGGUUAAGUCCCGCAACGAGCGCAACCCUUAAGCUUAGUUGCCAUCAUUAAGUUGGGCACUCUAAGUUGACUGCCGGUGACAAACCGGAGGAAGGUGGGGAUGACGUCAAAUCAUCAUGCCCCUUAUGAUUUGGGCUACACACGUGCUACAAUGGACAAUACAAAGGGCAGCGAAACCGCGAGGUCAAGCAAAUCCCAUAAAGUUGUUCUCAGUUCGGAUUGUAGUCUGCAACUCGACUACAUGAAGCUGGAAUCGCUAGUAAUCGUAGAUCAGCAUGCUACGGUGAAUACGUUCCCGGGUCUUGUACACACCGCCCGUCACACCACGAGAGUUUGUAACACCCGAAGCCGGUGGAGUAACCUUUUAGGAGCUAGCCGUCGAAGGUGGGACAAAUGAUUGGGGUGAAGUCGUAACAAGGUAGCCGUAUCGGAAGGUGCGGCUGGAUCACCU